GUACAGAGGGGGCGAAGCGUUGUUCGGAAUUACUGGGCGUAAAGGGCGCGUAGGUGGCCUUCUAAGUUGAACGUGAAAUCCCGUGGGACUCAACCCAGGAACUGCGUCCAAGACUGGGGAGCUUGAAUCCGGGAGAGGGAUGCGGAAUUCCGAGGUGUAGCGGUGAAAUGCGUAGAUAUCUGGAGGAACACCGGUGGCGAAGGCGGCAUCCUGGACCGGUAUUGACACUGAGGCGCGAAAGCCAGGGAGCAAACGGG
rnacentral:rRNA from 1 species